rnacentral:miRNA from 1 species
GAUUGGGUCAGGCAGCAAAUA